ACGUACACUCCUACGGGAGGCAGCAGUGGGGAAUUUUGGACAAUGGGCGAAAGCCUGAUCCAGCCAUGCCGCGUGCAGGAUGAAGGCCUUCGGGUUGUAAACUGCUUUUGUACGGAACGAAACGGCCUUUUCUAAUAAAGAGGGCUAAUGACGGUACCGUAAGAAUAAGCACCGGCUAACUACGUGCCAGCAGCCGCGGUAAUACGUAGGGUGCAAGCGUUAAUCGGAAUUACUGGGCGUAAAGCGUGCGCAGGCGGUUAUGUAAGACAGUUGUGAAAUCCCCGGGCUCAACCUGGGAACUGCAUCUGUGACUGCAUAGCUAGAGUACGGUAGAGGGGGAUGGAAUUCCGCGUGUAGCAGUGAAAUGCGUAGAUAUGCGGAGGAACACCGAUGGCGAAGGCAAUCCCCUGGACCUGUACUGACGCUCAUGCACGAAAGCGUGGGGAGCAAACAGGAUUAGAAACCCCUGUAGUCCCAUGAU
rnacentral:rRNA from 1 species